GGCUUGUAGCUCAGUGGCAGAGCACUUGCCUAGCAUGUAUGAGGCACUGGGUUGGAUCCUCAGCACCA
rnacentral:tRNA from 1 species